rnacentral:rRNA from 1 species
CCCUAGAGGAGCCUGUUCCAUAAUCGAUAAACCCCGAUCCACCUCACCCUCUCUUGCUUAGCCUAUAUACCGCCAUCUUCAGCAAACCCUGAUAAAGGUUACAAAGUGAGCACAAACGCCCCACCGCCGCAAAAACGUUAGGUCAAGGUGUAGCCCAUGAGAGGGUAAAAAUGGGCUACAUUUUCUACAUCAGAAAACUCCACGAAAACUCUCAUGAAACCUGAGAGUCCAAGGAGGAUUUAGCAGUAAAUUAAGAAUAGAGUGCUUAAUUGAACUAGGCCAUAAAGCGCGUACACACCGCCCGUCACUCCCCUCAAAUAUAUUUAAGGAACAUCUUAACUAAACGCCCUCAUAUUUAUAUAGAGGGGAUAAGUCGUAACAUGGUAAGUGUACUGGAAGGUGCACUUGGAC